rnacentral:rRNA from 1 species
CCUACGGGAGGCAGCAGUGGGGAAUAUUGCACAAUGGGGGAAACCCUGAUGCAGCGACGCCGCGUGAGUGAAGAAGUAAUUCGUUAUGUAAAGCUCUAUCAGCAGGGAAGAAAAUGACGGUACCUGAGUAAGAAGCCCCGGCUAACUACGUGCCAGCAGCCGCGGUAAUACGUAGGGGGCAAGCGUUAUCCGGAUGUACUGGGUGUAAAGGGAGCGUAGACGGCAGUGCAAGUCUGGAGUGAAAGGCGGGGGCGCAACCCCCGGACUGCUCUGGAAACUGUACGGCUGGAGUGCAGGAGAGGUAAGUGGAAGUCCUAGUGUAGCGGUGAAAUGCGUAGAUAUUAGGAGGAACACCAGUGGCGAAGGCGGCUUACUGGACUGUAACUGACGUUGAGGCUCGAAAGCGUGGGGAGCAAACAGGAUUAGAGACCCCUGUAGUC